GUUUGAUCCUGGCUCAGAGCGAACGCUGGCGGCAGGCUUAACACAUGCAAGUCGAGCGGGCCCUUCGGGGUCAGCGGCAGACGGGUGAGUAACGCGUGGGAACGUGCCCUUCGGUUCGGAAUAACCCUGGGAAACUAGGGCUAAUACCGGAUACGCCCCUUGGGGGAAAGGUUACUGCCGAAGGAUCGGCCCGCGUCUGAUUAGCUAGUUGGUGAGGUAACGGCUCACCAAGGCGACGAUCAGUAGCUGGUCUGAGAGGAUGAUCAGCCACACUGGGACUGAGACACGGCCCAGACUCCUACGGGAGGCAGCAGAAGGG
rnacentral:rRNA from 1 species